rnacentral:rRNA from 1 species
UUCGGUGACUAUAGCAUAGGGGAUCACCUCUUUCCAUUCCGAACAGAGAAGUUAAGCCCUAUUGCGCCGAUGGUACUGCCUUAAGGUGGGAGAGUAGGCCGUUGCCGAUU